rnacentral:rRNA from 1 species
UACAGAGGUCUCAAGCGUUGUUUGGAUUCAUUGGGCGUAAAGGGUGCGUAGGUGGCGCGCUAAGUCGGGUGUGAAAUUUCGGAGCUUAACUCCGAAACUGCAUUCGAUACUGGCGUGCUCGAGGACUGGAGAGGAGACUGGAAUUCAUGGUGUAGCAGUGAAAUGCGUAGAGAUCAUGAGGAAGACCAGUGGCGAAGGCGGGUCUCUGGACAGUUCCUGACACUGAGGCACGAAGGCCAGGGGAGCAAACGGG